rnacentral:lncRNA from 1 species
GGGGACUAAAAACAUUCGUACAUGACCGUGACCUUAUUCCUGGAGAAUUCACGUCAGAUUCGAAGGCAAUUUUAAUGCAUCAAAGUAGACACGUAAUGUUCAUUAUUACAGAACGUUUUGGUGAAUACAGCAUGUAAUUUAAUGGUUUCUGUUAGUUCAUGUUUGUUAUAUACCACAUCGCUUUAUUGUGAUAUAGGCGAUGUG